ACGGCUAAAGCGUGCGGAGAAUGUCAAGAGAGGGCGGGGUCGACCGAUUUUGACAUGGGAGGAGUCCGUUAAGAGAGAUCUGAAGGAUUGGAGUAUCGACAAAGAGCUAGCUAUGGACAGGGGUGCGUGGAAGCUUGCUAUCCAUGUGCCAGAGCCAUGAGUUGGUUGCGAGAUCUUGUGGGUUUCACCUCUAGCCUACCCCAACUUGUUUGGGACUAAAGGCUUUGUUGUUGUUGUUGUUGUUGUUUAGGUGAUUCUGAUAUUGAACUAAAUUUCUCUGUGAUCUAUGAGGUUUUAGUUGGAUUUAGUUAGGUGAUUGUGUCUUCAGAAGAUAAUCAAAGAUGUUUGAUGGGUUAUGAGAUUAUAGGUCUAAUAAAUGAGCAUGGUGAUUAUUAUAUAGUUAGGUGAAUGUGAUUUGAUGAGCUAGUAAAAGAUGCUCGGUGAAUUAUUGUGAAUUUAGGUCUAGUAGGUGAGCAUGUUGAUUAUUAUAUUGAUGGAUAAAUAAAUCUUUAAUAAAUUUAAAACAAUUUGGAUUUAGUUAGACGAUUGUGACCUUGAACCAAAUUUCAUGGUGGAUUAUGAGAUUUUUGAUGGAUUAGUUAGUUGAUUGUGAUCUUCAAGAGAUAGUCAAAGAUGUUUUGUGGAUUAAUUAAUCUUGAACAACUUGGAUUUAGUUAAGUGGUUGCGAUACUGAACCGAAUUUCACGCUGGAUUAUGAGAUUGUAGGUGGAUUUAGUUAGGUGAUUGUGUCUUGAGAAUAUUGUCAUAGAUGUUUGCUAGUCUAUGAGAUUUUAGGUUUAGUAGAUGGGAAUGGUGAUUAUUAUAUUGGUAGAUAAACAAAUCUUUAUUUUAGUUUGGAACAAUUUUGACUCAGUUAGGUGAUUGUUAUGUUUAAACCAAAUUUACAGUGGAUUUUGAGAUUUUUUUGGAUUUAGUUAGGCGAUUGUGAUGUAGUACAAAUUUCAUGGUGGAGAUUUGCAAUGGAUUUAGUUGAUUGUGAUCUUGAGAAGAUAGUCAGAGAUGUUCGGUGGAUAAAUUAAUCUUGAACAAUUUGAAUAUAUUUAGGUGAUUGUGAUAUUGAACCAAAUUUCUCUUAUGAUUUAUGGGAUUUUAGUUGGAUUUAAUUAGGUGAUUGUGUCUUGAGAUGAUAAUCAAAUAUGUUUGGUGGAUUAUGAGAUUUUAGGUCUAGUGGAUGAGCAUGGUGAUUACUAUAUUGGUGGAUAAGCAUAUAUUUAAUUUAGUUUGGAGCAAUUUGGAUUUAGUCAGGUGAUUGGGUUCUUGACGAGCUAGUAAAAGAUGUUCGGUGGAUUAUGCGAAUUUAGGUCUAGUAGGUGAGCAUGUUGGUUAUUAUAUUGGUGGAUAAUUUUUUUUUAAUAAACUUGGAAAAGUUUGGAUUUAGUUAGGCGAUUGUGAUCUUGAACCAAAUUUUAUGGUGGAUUAUGAGAAUUUUGAUGGAUUAGUUAGUUGAUUGUAAUCUUGAGGAGAUAGUCAAAGAUAUUCGGUGUAUUAAUUAAUCUUGGACAAUUUGCAUUUAGUUAGGUGAUUGUGAUAUUGUACAAAAUUUCUUCGUGAUUUAUGAGAUUUUAGUUGUGUUUAUUUAGAUGAUUGUGUUUUGAGAAGAUAGUCAAAGAUGUUUGGUGGAUUAUGAGAUUUUAGGUCUAAUAGAUGCGCAUGGUGAUUGUUAUAUUGGUGGAUAAAUGAAUCUUUAAUAAAUUUGGAAUAAUUUGGAUUUAGUUAUCCGACUGUGAUCUUGAAUCAAAUUUUAUGGUGGAUUAUGAGAUACUCCACGCAUCUCCUGCGCCCCGCAACCCUCUCCUUCCCAGCACAGCAGGAGCAGGAGCAAGGAUGCCGAGGCGGUUCAGUCGCGAGGAAGAGUAGGAAGAUCAGGCAGAGAGGGUUUCACACACCUCUUCUACACUGACAACUCUUUGCUUUCCAGGAUUGCCAUGGGAGCUUUGGAUGGUGGUCUUGAUCUUCCGCACAGUGACAAGAGAUUUGCUGGCUUCAAGAAGGAUAAGCAGCUGGGCGCUGAGAUUCACCUCAAAUACAUCUAUGAAGGUCAUGUUGCUGACUACAUGAAGUCAAUAGCUGAUGAGGAACCUAAGAAGUACCAAUCUCACUUCAGUGAGUACAUCAAGAAGAACUGAAGAAGAUCAAGGGUUACAGAUGCCAGUGCCACAAGGCUUGCCUAACAAAGGUUCCCAGAAAAGGAAUGGUUUGACAAAAAAAGGCUUUGCUCUCCAGGUGCAGAACACUUUCCCCCUCCCCAUCGAUGACGAUCUUCCUGUAUGAGCAUUUUCAUCUGUGCUCCCUAUUUUCCUUGCUCCACUAAGAAUGAAGCCAUUAACUGUUGACUGUAAUUGCGGGGUAGCUCUUUUAGUACCACAGAAGUUAUUCCGAAAGGUCAUUAAGCUUAUUCUAAUGCCAACUUCUGUAGAGGUGCUUGUCUUAUUACAGUAUGUUCCUUUUGACAAAUCAACAGAAGUGUACAAAAUUCAUUUAAAUGGGUUCGCAAGGUAUUUUCAUUAGCAAUGCCACAAGGCAUCAGAAAGCACAAGUAGCGAGAUUGUGUUAAAUUAAUCUGCUAGAGUAUGGUGAUAACAGAGGGGCACUGUUUUUGAAAAUUGUUUUUUCUGUUCCAAUUGUAUAGGGCCCUCCGCAAGGAUAUUGAUUCAUCAGGUGUAGAUGUUUAGUUGGACAGAUAUUGUUCGUCAGUUUCUUAGUGCGUGCCUAGCUGUUUCCCCUUUUUACAUUGCUUCUUUCCUGUAGGAUUUCUUGAAACAUACUCCCUCCGUUCCAAAAUAGAUGACCCAACUUUGAACUAACUUUGUACUAAAGUUAGUACAAAGUUGAGUCAUCUAUUUUGGAAUGGAGGGAGUAAUAACUUGCUUCCACAAUUGUAGAAUGAUCAUGGUUUCUUUGCAUUCCUGUACUUUCAUACGAUUAACAAUUUCAUGGCUAUCCUAGGUAACAAACAGACAUCAUUGGCAUUAGCCAAUGCAUUUGCGUUAAAUGCCCUGCUGGCCGAGUGCAACUUCAUUCUUCUUUAGUGGGUAUUUGUAUUUUCCAAAAAGAAGUUGGUGCACCUCAUAGUUGUUUUGUAGCCUGACUAUUAUGCCUAGAUUUUGCUCUAUGAUACAGAACUAAGUAGUUAACUAUGUCAGUUGGCUAUCUGUGUUGCUUCAUAGUUAUGGAAAAACAGGGUAGAGCUCUAAUGACUACUCUCCUCAAUCAAUCUACAAGAGCCAAGAUUAUCUUUUAAGUAGAUUCCAUAUCUUUGAACAACAGAUUCUGAUUCUUUUACAGAGAUGUUUUAAUGCAUUUUUUAUCAGUUGCGCUACUACAUUUUACUAAUGAUUUGAGCUGCCUUAUUCCCACAUAGCGACUAUCUAAAUUAUUAACAUCGAGGACGGGGCGUCGACCCGUUGGCUGGGCAGCUGGGGUAGCUGCCAGCCCACCCGAGUUCGAGCCCCGGCUUUGACGCGUGGUGCUCGCGGAGUUUCUCCUAUAAAAAAAUGCCAACGAGGGUUAGCCCUUGGGUUGGUCUUAUUUAAAAAAAAUUUAUUGACAUCCACUCAAAUAAAUAUACAAGAGUUGUAUGAAAGGGAACCACUCAUCUUUUUAACAAGAAAUAUGUUUAGCGUCAUAACAAUGUUCAGGACGCACAUGCAUGCCAGAACACUGAGGGGUGGUCUUACAAAUGACAACUACUUUCAUGUUAGUAAUUUCUUCUGUUUGACAUAUUCCACGACCCUUCUUGCUAGCUCCAGUCAUUCAAUUUAUCAUUAUAUCCACCAUAUUUUUAUGCUCGGCAUUCCUAAUUUGCCGGUCACAAGAAACUGUAGUAUAAUGUCAGGUCGCACAUUCUUUUUGUUUCAUGGUUCAGUACAGGUCUCAUGGUGAGCAGCAGCUCUAGGUUGCAGUAUAAUGUCAACUGAUUGCAACAUCCUGAGUUAUUUUAUCGAUGUUUUUUAUCUGGAAACUUGAAUCUCUUUCAACUUUCAGUACACAUAUAUUCUGAUCUGUGCAUAAGGAAACUCACAAGUUUGUGUCCAUCUUUUUGGUUGUAAUCAUAUGGCUUGCAUAUUUUAUCGGACUGAUGAGUCACAAAGAUUGGACUGAUCAUAUUUGGUACAGAAGAUCAAAAGAAGCAUUUAUAUCAUCUUUUUGUGUGCUUUAUCUGUAGAAAAGUACCAUGGGUUGAUGGUGUUGGAUCCAAUUACUAUUUGAUGUAAUUGACUGCUAUUCCUAAGAACUGCUCCUGGACACAGUGCUCUAUGUUAUCAUGUCUUGCAUUCUGUUGUGUCGCCUAUCUUUAUAGUUACUCGGAUCUUACAUUUCGAUUUUUGUAUUUUUGUCGGUGCAAGUGUUGUCUUCCUACUAUCAAACAACAGGGAUUUCUUUAAAUUAAAUUGUACAUGUUGUCGAAAAUUAUCCUGUGUAUGUCUAUAUUCAUGCCUACUAUAAAACAAACAUUCUUCAUUGCCUAUGCCUUUUCCUUCUGUUAAUGAUGAUAAUGCAGCUCUCCAUCUUAUUAAUUCCUUCAUUCACUUGAAAUAUUGCCUAAUUUUUUUCUGUGUGUAUUUGGUUUAGAACCCUGACUUAUGGUCAAACUGAAGGUGCUUAGCAUGGUCUAGUAUGCAUUUCUCAGUUUCUCUUGAUUUCUGUUUUUGUUUCAUUUCAUUUUAAGCCGAUUGUAUUUGCAUACAUAUUGGAGAGGUUAUUUCUCGUGUGAAGUUACUAUUUUUUUCCAGUUCUGAAGCACCUUCCUCAACUUUUGAUGGUCUACUUUACAAGAGAAAAUAUUUCUCUGUUUGUAUGGUGCAGGUUUCUUUAUGGUCUACUUUACAAGAGAAAACAUUUCUCUGGAAGGAGCUGCAAGGAGUUCUUCACAUGGCAAACAUAGAUGAAGGAAUGAUGUAUGCCUUCACCUUCAGACGCAAGGCAAAGUGCCUCCGCCUCUGUCUAACUGCUCACUCCCUAUGAGGACACCAUCGUAAACCUUCGGUGUCACCUAUAUAUAGCUUGUGUACCAGACUUCAUGUUUAUAAUGCUCUUAUACCCAAAAACAAAAUUCCCACCACCUCUGCGGCUGGCGCACGAUUUUUUUUGGUGCAGGUAUUGCGAGCUAAUCCUACCCCCUCCCCACAGUUUCUGGAAAACGUGGGAUCCAUUACCAGCAGUAUCAAGAUCGGGGGCGAGGGCCGAGCAGUUUCGGCGGCGAGCGGGCGAUUUCGCGUUGGGCGCCCUCGUCGGCAUUGGCUUUCAGCCAUGGAGGAAUCGACGCCUCAGCUUCACGAUGAAACGUUACAGCGUCUCCACCGCCACCGCUUCUGCCCUGAGGUUAUUUGGCGGUGGGCAGCAGCGUGUGAAAUCUACUGCAGAGGAGUUGGGCAUUUUCCUACCGGUGGAAGACCUGCAUCCAGCCCCACAAGUCCUUUACUAGCCCUCCUUGCCGCAGUUCCAUCCUCUACCGUCAGGCCAGGCUGGUAUGAGAUUCUGGCAAGGAUCUAAUUUCAUAGCCCUUUUUCAUUGCGUGUGUAUUCUUCAGUAAUGCUCCCAAAUCUCUUCUCACACUAGAAUUCCAGAUACAAUGCAUCACGUAAUUUCUUUUGUUUAGUUGCCAUUAGCCAGAUAUUCACAGAAUUCGAGUUAGAUUUAUUUGAACUGCAGAGUGUCGUACUGACGCUCACCCAUUAUUCAUUCAGGUUAUUUCCUGUUAAUUUCUAUAGAAUAAACUAGAUGGGAAUGUGUUAUUUUGCUGAGUGAUCAUAUGGUUAUAGCUAGGCUCCAUUAGUUUGUGUAUGGAAGUAACCUGCUAUUCUCUCUUGAACCAACUGCAUAAGUAAAAUUAUUGUGAUUAUCCAUCUGAUGACAUGAGUAAUUCAAAUGUUGGUCUGUGUGCAUGCUGUCAAUGCUUGGCUCCUAGUACCUGUUUACAGAGAGUUAUUUCCAUUGCAAUGAGAACGGCUAUUAAUAUUUGCUUAUUUUUUGGUUGAACCAAGCCACAAACCAAGAGGAGUUAUUUCCAUUUUUGGUUGACCCUCUUCUCCUUUGUUCUCCUUGAUAGUCCAGCAAUCAGUAAGUUGAAAAGAUUUAAAUCAAGGUUUCCUGAUAAUUCUGUUGAAUCUUCCUGUAAGGCAGGCUUUUCAGAUAUCCCCCAUUUAACUAAAGGUGCAUUCCUUUUACUUCCGGUGAUAUAAACUUAAUUUGUCUAACCUUCUGUGCAUAGGGUCUCCUUCACAUGAGAGAUAAAGAUGUUCCUUGUACAGUAUUUAGGUUCUGUAGUAAAAAAAUAUUUUUUUUUGAUUGGUUGUUCUUACUUGUCAGUCACACAGGCCUUUAUAUUAGGCCUUAGAUGCUAGUAUUAAGUACUAACUGUUAACCCUUUGUAGUUGAAGAGCAGAAUUUCCACUCCCUAGUUCAUAUUUCUCUGCGCCUUAUUCUAGUUCCAAAAAUGCAUUUUGAUGGUGCAACUUGUUGAUUGCCUGCUGUUACUGUGAAUAUUUGAUUAUGCUUGAUAGCAUCACUAUCGAAGAUGGCCUCAUUAAAAAUCUUAGUUGGGGAGUGAAAUUUGCUUUAGUAGUAUGUAUUGAAUUUUCUUAUACAGUCAUAAGAUGAAUUUCUUCCUGUGAAACUGAGGACUGAAGGCAGGGGCAUAGGAUUAUUGUGUAUAUUUACAUUACACGGGGUCAAACUGAUUCUAGUGCUCAACAGUAUGAUAGUGACCCAAAAGCAAUAGUUUAGCCCCUGCAUAAAUCAUGGGAAAUCCCACGUGCGUGGAAAAUGAAGGACUCAGAGGUUAACAUAAUCCAUUUUAUAUAUACAAACUCUAUUAAGGACCCAGGUUGAAGACUUAUUCUUCACCCUGGUCGAUUGACCAAGUGACCACUGGCUCAACCAUGUAAAAUUGUACCCCAGGAGGAAGCACCUAUUCCAUUGUAGGCUCUCUGUUUGCUACACAAGAGAAAGAAAUUAAGUGUGUUGUUCUAAAAAGGGUGAUUAGUCAAACAUGAUGCAGAGUUGCUUACUAGUAAUUAGUAGCUUCUACGAUGGAGGAUGAUUUACUCAUAGAAUUAGUUGUUGUUGUUCACUAGUUUUUCACUACCCAUUUGAUAACAGAAGAAAAUUAAACCCCAUGUCUCUGUAUGAAAAGGUGCAGGCACUUAAUGGUCCAAAAUUUACAGAGAAAUAUGCAUGAUAUCAGUGUGAUUACCUCAUGGUUUGUUUUUUACACCGUCCAAAUCUAAUUAGCAUAUAUAUAGUCAAGAACGGUCAUAGCAACUAAGGCAAUGGGUAGGUAUGAUGCUUAGCGCCUUUCGUUUGUAGAUACUAAUCAGUUCAAACUUUAAGUAUAUACUGUCCGUUGUUGUAAAGCUGCAGAGAUGUCAAACCUUUUGUUCAGAAUUUGAUAUCCAAGCUGCAGAGGCGGCACAUAAUAUAGGGCUGGAGAAAGAGAAACUUUUGUGAAACUUAGCUUGUAUGAGACUAAUAGAGAAUCUGCAAAAAAAUAAUUUGAACCUAACAAUGAUAAAAAGUAAGUUGCCCUUGUAAAUCUGUCAAGUAAUUUUCUAAAACAAUUUUAUUCAAGGAUUAGUUUAACUAUUGAGAGGUCCUAAUCCUGUUUGUACUUUGGUUCUUCUUGUUUUAGCAACUACUGACCUUGUUCAUGGAUACAGGAACCGGGAAGAGCAAGAUGAUUUUGCAAGUUUUGGUUCGGUUGACACUUAUGUGUUUUUGUUAGUGAUUUGUAGCUCCUAUUUUUUUAUCUUCUUUUGAAAAUGUAACCCCACUGAUUAGUAGGAUCAAUAAUUACCAUAAUAAAGCUGCCACACUUGCCUUCUUAGAAGAUCCAUUAAAGAAACAUGGCAAAACUUACCAAUUGAUGUUUUUUUUAAAGAAACAUAGCCUGAUACUGUUGCUAGUAGCUUACAGUAAACCGAGAACAGGUGACAUCAUCACAUUUGCAUGGGCAUGUCUAGGUUUUGCCUCUCAAGGAAGACACCCAUUCUCUCCCGAAUUUGAGUUUAACAUGUACUGUACUAUUUCCAUUAACACUAUGCAUUUCAGUUUUGGACACUCCAAUGGCGACAUUAGGUAUGCUUAGCAAAACUAAUCAUUCUGGAAUCAACACAUCAUAUGACCGAAAAUACAUGGGCUUUAGUUAGCUCAUAGUAACCGUGUACAUGUUUAUUGAUCCAAAAAAGAUGUCUUGUAAAACCGAAUUACAUAAGCAUUUAAGUGUAAAACGUGAUCUGGAUGAUGGCAUUAUCCUUAACUAUGCCUUGCCAUGAUAUGUCCAUACAUAUUCAGUGUGCUCUUUCACUUGAGAACAAUAGUAGUUGUAGUAAGUUUUUCCAAAAGUUUCUGCCAAAAAUCACUAUGUUAGAGCCACUGGUGGUUCCUGGAAACUGUAAUGGGGAAGAACCCAUUUAUCAAUUUCAGAACCAGCAUUUUUGGAUUGAAUAUUUUGUAAUGUGUUCGAUUGUUUUUAACUAGUGAAAUAAAAUUACAGAGACUUCAUUAUUAAAUUUUACAUCUCUUGUGCUGCCUCGUUGACCUUAGUUAGGUAGAUUAGGUAGCAGUUCUAUGUUGGUAUCGAGCUGGUCAACAGAAAUUGCAUCGGCGUACUGUGGCAUCUGCCACAGCGCAAGCAUAGCUGCGACCUUGGUAUCUAGCCUCUUGCAAUUUUUCUUCAGCUUGUAGUUUGGGUACAUGCGGUGUUAAUUUUUGUUGCAUGUUCUACUGUUUCCUGAUUCUCAUGGAGGUACAAAUAUCCAAUUUCAAAAGAAAGGCAUUUGCCUCCAACUACCAUUGUUUCUUGACGUGGUUUCUAUUAAUUGAAGCAAGGUUCAUUCUUUAGUUGAGUUUGGUAGUUGAAGCGAUCCAGGUGAGGCCGCAACCAUAUAAGUAAGAUCUACUCCCUAUGUCCCAUAAUGUAAGAGUGUUUGUGAUACUAGUGUAGUAUAAAAAACGCUUUUAUAUUAUGGGAUGGAGGGAUUAGUUAUUAUCAAUUUUUCAUUAAUCAUGAUGAACUCCAUGGAAACAUACUACUGUUUUCUCCUCUUUGCAGAAUUCCCCUAGUGUGAGUCGACUUUAGAGCUCUAGCGUAAUUGCCUUAUGAAAGUCACCGCUUGAAUUUACCUUGCAUUUUUUGCAAGCAUUUUGGCAUGGUUUUUUACUCCAACCGACUCAAGUCUGCUCAGAACACAAACCACAUGAUGUGUCGAGGUAUCCUUGUCUUCUGGCUCCUUGCGAUGCCACUGGUGUACGGCGACGGAGCCUUGGCUGGUGACUGCUGCCACGGGACCUUGAAACUGGACCUAAGCAGUGUGUUCCAGGGUGGUGGUGACAUAGAGGAUGAGCGCAGUGGCCCUAAAGCCGGGUGCAGUCUGUGAAUGAAGAUAUGUCAAAUGACACUACAUCUCUUGAAGCUAUCCGAUAAAUGGAGAACGUAGGCCAUAGCCAAAACUGAAGUUAGUGACCUCAAUUGCUGUCACAUGAAGAAACUUAGAGCAGGAAAAUGUAUAUGUAAGAAUCAACUUGGGGUGGCAAACAUACCAGCCGGAAACAUUUUAAGGGCUGGUUCGUUGCAGCAAGGUAUGCAACAUUAUAAUGCUAAGCUACUCACUUGGACAAUGAGAUCAUGAAUUCAACUCUUAUGAAAAUUGAAGAACUGACAGAUUCUUGUACAAUCUCGAUGCGGAUACAUUUAACAUGAGAGAUGAAACAACUCUGAAUCCAAAGAGCAAUGGAAGUCAAAAUCAGCAACUAGCUGUGGCCUGUAGCUUGUUCACCGCCAUCAGACAAUCUGAAGCCAGAAUCAUCACUCGUCGAUAGCCUUCCGACACAGCAAAAUGCAGACCUUUGGUCAAAGCCGCUAUUGCUUCAGCCAGUUCUUGGAUGCUGACCCCUAGUCUGAACAACGCGAGCCAGGACAUCACACCCCCACGCCCAUCAUUUGAUCAUUCAAUGAAGUACUGCAGCAUCAGCAUUCUUGGCACUAUCGAUGAUGGCUCACACCUGGAGGUAGACACCGGGGAAACAAGACGCUGUUGGAUCAUAUCAAUAUAAGCCUCCUGAUCUUAUGCACAACCCUUUGUAGUACAGGACCACUUUUGCUUUUUCGAGCCUCAUUGGGUGCGUCCCCUGGGAAUUGAUAUGUAACAACAAUAGUAAUGGAUGUUUCUUUUAUUUGACUAGAGUUGUUUUGACAGUAAUUAUAUGCUUUGGAUUAUGCGGUAAUGAAUGGUUUCUACUUGCUA